AGGUGGUGAAUGUCACCUAUGAGAAAAUCACGGCAACCUCCUAUGCUGUCAUCUUUAAGUUUAAUUUGAGUAAUAUUAGCAUGUCAAAAGAUCCUGAGCUAAGAAAUGGCACAUACCUACAAGCUCAGGGUGUCGUCAAUAAUGCGCUGAACAGUCUUCUGAAUGAACCUGGCAGAACAACUUUAAAUCCCAAGUCGACCAACUUCAUGUAAGAUGCAAACAGACUUAAUGUA